AACGAACGCUGGCGGCGCGCCUAAUACAUGCAAGUCGAGCGAGAAGACGUAGCAAUACGUUUGUAAAGCGGCGAACGGGUGAGGAAUACAUGGGUAACCUACCCUCGAGUGGGGAAUAACUAGCCGAAAGGUUAGCUAAUACCGCGUACGCUUCUUGGACUUCGGUUCAGGGAGGAAAGCGAUACCGUGGGUAUCGCGCUCUUGGAUGGGCUCAUGUCCUAUCAGCUUGUUGGNGAGGUAACGGCUCACCAAGGCUUCGACGGGUAGCUGGUCUGAGAGGACGAUCAGCCACACUGGCACUGCGACACGGGCCAGACUCCUACGGGAGGCAGCAGUAAGGAAUAUUGCGCAAUGGGUGAAAGCCUGACGCAGCGACGCCGCGUGGGGGAUGAAGGUCUUCGGAUUGUAAACCCC
rnacentral:rRNA from 1 species